CGUAGGUUGCGAGCGUUGUCCGGAUUUACUGGGCGUAAAGCGCACGCAGGCGGUUCCGAAAGUCGAAUGUGAAAGCUCCCGGCCCAACUGGGAGAGGCCGUUCGAAACUUCGGGACUUGAAGGCGGGAGAGGCAGAUGGAAUUUCCGGUGUAGCGGUAAAAAUGCGUAGAUACCGGAAGGAACACCAGUGGCGAAAGCGAUCUGCUGGCCCGCCCUUGACGCUCAGGUGCGAAAGCUAGGGGAGCGACCGGGAUUAGAUACCCCGUUAGUCCUAGCUGUAAACAAUGGGCACUAGGUGUUGUCGGUAUCGACCCCGGCAGUGCCGAAGCUAACGCAUUAAGUGCCCCGCCUGGGGAGUACGACCGCAAGGUUA
rnacentral:rRNA from 1 species